rnacentral:rRNA from 1 species
UUUGUGGAGAGUUUGAUCCUGGCUCAGGACGAACGCUGGCGGCAUGCCUAACACAUGCAAGUCGAACGGAGCACAGAUACUUCGGUGGAAGUGCUUAGUGGCGGACGGGUGAGUAACGCGUGGAUAACCUGCCUGAGAGUGGGGGAUAACAGCCCGAAAGGGCUGCUAAU